AGGUAGUAAAAUAUAAUUUAAACCUAUAUAUAGUGGCGGCAUUUUAUCUUAUUAGAGGAACUUGUCAUUUAAUCGAUAAUCCACGAUAAUUUUCACUUAAAUUAAAAACUUAUAUACCGCCAUCAAAAGAAUUAAUUUAAUAAUAUUCCUCUAGAAAUAUAAAUGAGAAGUUAGGUCAAGGUGUAAUUUACACUUAAGUACAGAUGAGUUACAUUAAAAAAUAUUUAAGAAUUUUUAUUUUAAAUAAUAAAAUGAAAAAGGAUUUAAAAUUAAUUUUUAAAUAACAAUUUAAAAUGAAUAAGAAAACAAAUGUGC
rnacentral:rRNA from 1 species